rnacentral:lncRNA from 1 species
CGGCCUCACCAAGGAAAAGAGGAAAGAAAGAAAGAACAAAACCCUAGUUAGAAAAUUCAAGAGAAAAUUGGUGGAUUUCAAGGAAUUAAGCAAGUAAAGGUAAAAUUUCUUGAUUUUAGCUUGUGAUCUACCUUUCCUAUGCAUUCUUUUUCAUUUUCCAUGGUUGAGAAUCAAGUUUGCAUGAGGAUACCUUUGCUGGCCAGACAUGGGGGGAGGAGUUUUGAUCUUGGAUUUAGCUAGAUUUCAUGUUAUUCUAGUGCUUUUAGUUGGUUGGUGAUGUGUAGCAUAAAAAGCAAACAAGAAAAAUUCAUGUUCUUACAUCACCUCAUUGGCCGAAUCUUCCUUGUGGUAUGUUGAUGGUGGAUUUGAUUUUAUUUCAAGUGAUUUGGUUAGGAAUUAAUGAUUUAUGGUGCAAAAAUCAAGUGUGAAAAACCAUAGUGUUUAUGCACCCAUCAUGGCUGAAUUUUCCAAGAGAAAAUGUUGAGGAUGAUUUUGCUAUAUAAUUCAUGUUAUCUAGCUUUGGAAGUGAUUGAUGAUUUGGAGCAUUGGAAGUGAAAUGAAUUUAUUUGGAGUCAAUUUGGAUGUUUUGGUUAAAUCAAAGGUGAAGAGUUCGAAUUAGGUCAAAAACUGAUCCAUUCCGAUCACCCUUGAACCAACGUGAAUUCCAUUUUUAAGUGACUAUCCAAACAACCUCAUGCAUUCAUAUAGAGCCUGAAAUAGAUUUAUAAUGACAUGAAAUAAUAUAUUGAAUUAUUUGUUGUGUAAUGUGUAUAGGUGGUGAGUCCUCUAACAAGGGUAAAAACAUUGUGCCAGAGGACCAAGUAUAGGAGUAUUUCGAACUCCCGAUAUUGUGAGUAACCUUAUUAUCGUCUUAAUUAUCUAAAGUAGUUUUUUUUCCUUUUUGUGAUUUGAUAGAAAAAUGAGUUUAAAUGGUAAAUCUUUAUGUUUUAUAAGCAAAAUGUGAUUAAAUGAAAUGAUUUUAUAAAAUUGUCUUGAAAUUAAAUGAUGGUUUUGAAAAUGGAGUAAUUGGAGACUACUUGCUGUGUUAUAAAUCAUGGUUUGAAUUGAAUGGCUUAUGACAAUGUGGGCAUGAGUGGUUGGAUUGGUAAUUGUGCUAAACAUAUAUGAACAGUUGUUUUGCCUUGACAUGCUGUGUUGUAAAAUAAUUGCCACGUCAUGUUGUUGGAAUUUUAUUGAUUUGGUGGGAUAUCGAUUAGCUUACUGCAGUGGGCGGGUUUCCGUGGACCAGCCUAUUAGAGAGGGGCACGGUAAACCCAGUUAUAUUUUACCUUGGUACGAGAGGUGUGGAGGGUAUCUCCUAAGGUAAAGUUUAGAGUUCACUUCACGUCGAACCACCACGUGAGAGUGAAUUCAGCAAAUGCUAAGGAACGACUAUGCUUUUAAACGUAAAAAUGUGUUUUGUGCGUAUAUGACUUUUUAAAUAGCUUUGGCGAUCUCGAUUGGAUGCCUCUGAUCAAGGUAUCCCCGAGAAUGAGUUUUGGCAUGAGCUAAGUUUUUAAGAGAUUCAUAAGCCUCGUUGUAUAUUUUGGAUGAAAUGUAACUGGUUUAGAUGAUUUGAAAUAUGUUUUGAGGUUAUGAACCAUCUUAUGAUGAUCUAUUUUAAUCGUCUCCAUUUACUCGACUUUAGAUAUUUUAGAUGAUAUUUGUUUACUCAUUGAGUUUAUAUAAACUCACCACCCUCUUUUCCACCCAUUUCAGGCUUAGAAUAGUCAGUAGACAGCUGAUUUCGUCGAGGGCUACAGUUGGAUUUGCAUCCUCAAAAACCGUAGGUUCACAGCCUU